UGUCAAUUAUAGUUUUUCAUAUAGAUUAGAGAUUCUAGAUUCAAUUAUUUGAUUUUGGCCAAAAUUGCAAAAAGGAGUUCAUCGAUUUAGACAUUAUAAGAAAAGGCAUGAUGAUGAAUUCGAAUGGGAUGGGUUUAUAGUUAGCUAUAUAGAUGCUAUUAACCAGCAGUCAAAAGACAUUGUAGUACGUACAACUUUGAGAGAUCUGGAGGUGAAUCUUUACUUAAAAAUCAAAUAAACUACAUUUUAAUAUUUUGUUGCUAGAAGAUGCACGUCUUAUAUUUAAACCUCAGAUUUAAUUACAUAUCUUUUUUAAGCGAGAUAUAUAGAUCUGUGGAUUCUAUAAUUUGUCUAUGUUUGAUCAUCAGCAUGUGGAAGACGAUCGAACGUUACCGCAAGUACACAAAAGAUCAUGAAACCAACAACCAUGACUCAGAAAUUUACGUCCAGCGAUUAAAGGAAGAAGCAAGCCACAUGAUCACAAAGAUUGAACUCCUUGAAUUUCACAAGCGGAAGCUACUGGGUCAAGAACUUGCUUCGUGUUCUCUAGAAGAGCUUCAAGAAAUUGAUAGUCAACUCCAAAGAAGUUUGGCCAAGGUCCGAGCAAAAAAGGCGCAAUUGUCAGGGAGCAAUUGGAGAAGCUAAAAGCAAAGGAGAAACAAUUGUUAGAAGAGAACGUCCGGUUACAUCAAAAGACUGUUUUAGAACCAUGGAGAGGGUCGACUGAUCAACAAGAGAAAUUCAGAGUCAUAGAUCUUAAUUUGGAAGUAGAAACUGAUUUAGUCAUCGGUUUGCCAGAGAAGCACUGCAAAUAACAUUAUCUUAUAUGUUCUUUAACCAAAACAAUAUAAUAUUUUAUGUUUGUAUUUUCAUCAUCAAAUCUGUAAAAUUCUUCAAUAAAUUGCGAGUUAAUGAUUUGUAAUAUUAUCUUAUGAUUUUAAUC